AACGAACGCUGGCGGCAGGCCUAACACAUGCAAGUCGAGCGCCCGGAUUUAUCCGGGAGCGGCGCACGGGUGAGUAACGCGUGGGAACAUGCCCUGAAGUACGGAACAACCUGGGGAAACCUUGGCUAAUACCGUAUACGCCCUGAGGGGGAAAGAUUUAUCGCUUUGGGAUUGGCCCGCGUUGGAUUAGCUGGUUGGUGUGGUAACGGCGCACCAAGGCGACGAUCCAUAACUGGUCUGAGAGGAUGACCAGUCACACUGGGACUGAGACACGGCCCAGACUCCUACGGGAGGCAGCAGUGGGGAAUAUUGGACAAUGGGCGAAAGCCUGAUCCAGCCAUGCCGCGUGAGUGAGGAAGGCCUUCGGGUUGUAAAGCUCUUUCAGCGGGGACGAUGAUGACGGUACCCGCAGAAGAAGCCCCGGCUAACUUCGUGCCAGCCGCCGCAGUAA
rnacentral:rRNA from 1 species